AAUGAACGUUGGCGGCGUGGAUUAGGCAUGCAAGUCGAGCGGGUGUAGUAAUACAUCAGCGGCGAAAGGGAGAGUAACGCGUAGUUACGUGCCCCGAGGUCCAGAAUAGCCACGGGAAACUGUGGGUAAUGCUGGAUAAUAUCUCCGGAUCAAAGGUGUGAUUCCGCCUCGGGAGCGGACUGCGUCCUACUAGCUAGUUGGCGGGGUAAUGGCCCACCAAGGCGACGAUGGGUAGCGGGUGUGAGAGCAUGACCCGUCUCACUGGGACUGAGACACUGCCCAGACACCUACGGGUGGCUG
rnacentral:rRNA from 1 species